CGGUCCAGACUCCUACGGGAGGCAGCAGUGGGGAAUAUUGCACAAUGGGGGGAACCCUGAUGCAGCCAUGCCGCGUGUAUGAAGAAGGCCUUCGGGUUGUAAAGUACUUUCGGUGAUGAGGAAGGAGAUGUAUCUAAUAGGUACAUUAAUUGACGUUAAUUACAGAAGAAGCACCGGCUAACUCCGUGCCAGCAGCCGCGGUAAUACGGAGGGUGCGAGCGUUAAUCGGAAUGACUGGGCGUAAAGGGCAUGUAGGCGGAUAAUUAAGUUAGGUGUGAAAGCCCUGGGCUCAACCUAGGAAUUGCACUUAAAACUGGUUAACUAGAGUAUUGUAGAGGAAGGUAGAAUUCCACGUGUAGCGGUGAAAUGCGUAGAGAUGUGGAGGAAUACCGGUGGCGAAGGCGGCCUUCUGGACAGAUACUGACGCUGAGAUGCGAAAGCGUGGGGAGCAAACAGGAUUAGAUACCCUGGUAGUCCACGCUGUAAACGAUGUCGAUUUGGAGUUUGUUGCCUAGAGUGAUGGGCUCCGAAGCUAACGCGAUAAAUCGACCGCCUGGGGAGUACGGCCGCAAGGUUAAAACUCAAAUGAAUUGACGGGGGCCCGCACAAGCGGUGGAGCAUGUGGUUUAAUUCGAUGCAACGCGAAGAACCUUACCUGGUCUUGACAUCCACAGAAUCUUGUAGAGAUACGAGAGUGCCUUCGGGAACUGUGAGACAGGUGCUGCAUGGCUGUCGUCAGCUCGUGUUGUGAAAUGUUGGGUUAAGUCCCGCAACGAGCGCAACCCUUAUCCUUUGUUGCCAUCGAUUCGGUCGGGAACUCAAAGGAGACUGCCGUUGAUAAAGCGGAGGAAGGUGGGGACGACGUCAAGUCAUCAUGGCCCUUACGACCAGGGCUACACACGUGCUACAAUGGCGUAUACAAAGGGAGGCGACCUCGCGAGAGUAAGCGGACCUCACAAAGUACGUCUAAGUCCGGAUUGGAGUCUGCAACUCGACUCC
rnacentral:rRNA from 1 species